UACGUAGGGCGCGAGCGUUGUCCGGAAUUAUUGGGCGUAAAGAGCUUGUAGGCGGUUUGUCGCGUCUGCUGUGAAAUUCCAGGGCUUAACCCUGGGCUUGCAGUGGGUACGGGCAGACUAGAGUGUGGUAGGGGAGACUGGAAUUCCUGGUGUAGCGGUGAAAUGCGCAGAUAUCAGGAGGAACACCAAUAGCGAAGGCAGCUCGCUGGGACGGUACUGACGCUAAGGCGCGAAAGCGUGGGGAGCGAACAGG
rnacentral:rRNA from 1 species